GCAGGAGACUCAAGUUGGCUUCGCUAACGGACACAGUUUUGAACUCGUAUAUUAGCGCCAUUUAUAGCUGCUUGGACCACAGCAUCUUCGGAAUUUGUAGACAUCCUGGCAGUUUACAAUUAGUUCAAGGGUGCUGACCCAAAUCUGUGUGGACCAGAACGUACCAAAGAGAACUACAACUCUGCUGUUGAUCGCCUCCAGAUUGACAAUACACCAGACGUCGAAGGAGUGAAGUUCAGACAUCUCGGAAAUGGGGGACAGCAUAAGGAGUUCCAUUACUAAGGUGCUGCCGGACCUGUCUGCCUUAAUCCUUGAAAUUGUACUAGAGACACUACAAUCAUUAGGAGUGGAGACAUCUGAGGACUUGCAGUUCAUCAGUGAGACUGAUCUGAACUCUGUCCUGAGACCAGUUCAGGCAAGAAAACUGCUGGCUGCUUGGAAACAAACCACACCAAAUAUGGAAAUUUCAAGCCAGGCCAGCAUAUCGUCUCCAUCUUCUUGCUCCUCAUUUUCUGCCUCACCCAGUCCAAUAUAUUCUCUAGACUGGGUAGAUAACUUUAGAAUUCCAAGUGAAGAUUUUCCAGAAGACUUGAUCCAGUGUCUUCAGAGAGAGAAAAGACCAAAGCCUCGAUUGCGGAGGGAGAUGAUCCGCAUUAUCGUGAAGGAGAUGAUGAAAGCCUGUGCCUCUCCAAG